GUAGACGUGCCGGAGUGGUUAUUGGGCAUGACUAGAAAUCAUGUGGUAUUUGCCCGCGCAGGUUCGAAACCUGCCGUGCACG
rnacentral:tRNA from 1 species